UACAGAGGUCUCAAGCGUUGUUCGGAUUCAUUAGGCGUAAAGGGUGCGUAGGCGGCGCGGUAAGUCGGGUGUGAAAUCUCGGAGCUUAACUCCGAAACUGCAUUCGAUACUGCCGUGCUUGAGGACUGGAGAGGAGACUGGAAUUUACGGUGUAGCGGUGAAAUGCGUAGAUAUCGUAAGGAAGACCAGUGGCGAAGGCGGGUCUCUGGACAGUUCCUGACGCUGAGGCACGAAGGCCAGGGGAGCGAACGGG
rnacentral:rRNA from 1 species